rnacentral:rRNA from 1 species
AUUGAACGCUGGCGGCAUGCUUUACACAUGCAAGUCGAACGGCAGCGGGGGCUUCGGCCUGCCGGCGAGUGGCGAACGGGUGAGUAAUGCAUCGGAACGUGCCCAUGUCGUGGGGGAUAACUACGCGAAAGCGUGGCUAAUACCGCAUACGCCCUGAGGGGGAAAGCGGGGGAUCUUUCGGGACCUCGCGCGAUUGGAGCGGCCGAUGUCGGAUUAGCUAGUUGGUGGGGUAAAGGCUCACCAAGGCGACGAUCCGUAGCUGGUCUGAGAGGAUGAUCAGGCACACUGGGACUGAGACACGGCCCAGAGUCCUACGGGAGGCAGCAGUGGGGAAUUUUGGACAAUGUGCGCAAGUCUGAUCCAGCCAUGCCGCGUGAGUGAAGAAGGCCUUCGGGUUGUAAAGCUCUUUCGGCCGGGAAGAAAUCGCAUUCUCUAAUAUAGGAUGUGGAUGACGGUACCGGACUAAGAAGCACCGGCUAACUACGUGCCAGCCGCCGCCGUAAGAC